AGACAUUGAAAGUGGUCAUGGUUCCAUCAACUCCAAUGUGGCUCAAGUGCUUCACGUCCGUUGGAAACCCUAUCUCCAUCUCCGCUUCUCUUUCUUCCCUCUCCUCCUCUUCGUAACCUGGUCACGUAAUGCAUGUUAAAGAAAACCAGAAAAGGACAAACAAAGAAAAAUCAGAUAACAAAUUAAAGGGAAAAGAAAAAAAAGAAAGUACAAGAUGUGGUGUGAGAAGAAGCAAGGUACUUUUGAUGAGUUGGUUUGGUUUCUUGUGUUGACGUGUAGAAUCAGCCACGGCGACGCUAGAUUGCUUCGAGCACCCAAACGAAAACGGCAAUACCACACAUCGCUGCAUCCGAUCUUUCAUCACUUCUUUUUUUGGAUGCUUCUUGCUAUCCUCGAAAUGUAUGAAAUGAUGGAAAAUAUUGGAUUUUGGUAGGAGUUUUUAUUUGCAAUCGUAUAUGGCUUUGUAAGCAAGUUAGAAUCAUUCAUUCCUUGAAUUUGUUUCUUGUAAUUCCUAACCCAAUAGAACAAUAAUAGACAGAGAGAGAGUCAUUAUUGAGUA